rnacentral:lncRNA from 1 species
GGGGAUGCUUUAUUGUAGGGAAGAUAUCACAAGGUUGCAGUUCAACAGAAGUGUUGCAUGACAAUACUCAGUUAAAAAAGAUUUGUGCAUAUGCAAAUGUGCUUUUUAUGUCAAACUGUUACAAUCUUAUUUUAUAAAGUGCUACUUCAAGUGUGAUGUACACUUGCAAUAAACUUAUCCUGCUUUCAAUCCCCCUCCUCCUCCCCG